rnacentral:rRNA from 1 species
GGGACCUAAGCCGAGGCCGAAAGGCGUAGGCGAUGGACAAUCGGUUGAUAUUCCGAUACCACUACCAUCGUUAUUAUCGAGGGUGUGACGGAGAAGGAUAGUGUGUGCUAGCGAUUGGAAAUGCUAGUCUAAGCGUUUAGGGAGUUACAGUAGGCAAAUCCGCUGUAACAAUUCUGAGGCGUGAUGGGGAAGGUCAUUAAGACCGAAGUACAUGAUUCCAUGCUUCCAAGAAAAGCAUCUAGAGAGAGAAGUAGUGCCCGUACCGCAAACCGACACAGGUAGAUGAGGAGAGAAUCCUAAGGCCGGCGGAAGAAUUGCAGUUAAGGAACUAGGCAAAUUGACCCCGUAAGUUCGCGAGAAGGGGUGCCUGCGAGAGCAGGCCGCAGAGAAUAGGCCCAAGCAACUGUUUAGCAAAAACACAGGUCUCUGCUAAAGCGUAAGCUGAUGUAUAGGGGCUGACGCCUGCCCGGUGCUGGAAGGUUAAGGGGAACACUUAGCGCAAGCGAAGGUGUGAACUUAAGCCCCAGUAAACGGCGGCCGUAACAAUAACGGUCCUAAGGUAGCGAAAUUCCUUGUCAGGUAAGUUCUGACCCGCACGAAUGGCGUAAUGACUUGGGCACUGUCUCAACUGCAAAUCCGGCGAAGUUGUAGUGCGAGUGAAGAUGCUCGCUACCCGCGAUUGGACGGAAAGACCCCGUAGAGCUUUACUGUAGCUUAGCAUUGAAUUCCGGUAUUGUCUGUACAGGAUAGGUGGGAGACUGGGAAACUAGGGCGUCAGCCUUAGUGGAGUCAACCUUGGGAUACCACCCUGACAGUACUGGGGUUCUAACAGGACGCCAUGAAUCUGGUGACUGGACAUUGUUAGGUGGGCAGUUUGACUGGGGCGGUCGCCUCCUAAAAAGUAACGGAGGCGCCCAAAGGUUCCCUCAGAACGGUCGGAAAUCGUUCGUAGAGUGCAAAGGCAGAAGGGAGCCUGACUGCGAGACCCACAAGUCGAGCAGGGACGAAAGUCAGGCUUAGUGAUCCGGUGGUACCUCGUGGGAGGGCCAUCGCUCAACGGAUAAAAGCUACCUCGGGGAUAACAGGCUGAUCUCCCCCAAGAGUCCACAUCGACGGGGAGGUUUGGCACCUCGAUGUCGGCUCGUCGCAUCCUGGGGCUGUAGUAGGUCCCAAGGGUUGGGCUGUUCGCCCAUUAAAGCGGCACGCGAGCUGGGUUCAGAACGUCGUGAGACAGUUCGGUCCCUAUCCGUCGCGGGCGUAGGAAAUUUGAGAGGAGCUGUCCUUAGUACGAGAGGACCGGGAUGGACUGACCUCUGGUGCACCAGUUGUUCUGCCAAGAGCAUGGCUGGGUAGCUAAGUCGGGAAGGGAUAAACGCUGAAAGCAUCUAAGCGUGAAGCCCCCCUCAAGAUGAGAUUUCCCAUAGCAUAGCUAGUAAGACCCCUUGAAGAACACAAGGUUGAUAGGUCAGAGGUGGAAGUGCGGUAACGUAUGUAGCUGACUGAUACUAAUAGGUCGAGGGCUUGACCU